CUUAUAAAGAAAUAUCUUCAACAUCGAAAUAUUAUACCAUUUCUUUUCCUAAGAAAAACCAGCCAGAUUUCGAGAAUUCAAGAAAGAGUAAAUUCAAGAAAUCUGAAUGCAGUUUGAUAAGUUCAUAUCUUAGUAGGUUUAAAAGUUACAAAAAGAUGGGUUUUUGAUUUCCGGAACUUACAGGCUUUUCUAGUAGGAUACAUGGGAUCCAUUGUUUCAAAAAUAAAUCUAUUUACAUGUCUUUUUACUUAGCACCAAAUACGCUCAAUACAUUAGCAUAUGUAAAAAUAUAGUUUCGUUUCUUCCAAAGCAGCUCUGACAUGAAGAUUUUGCAGAUGGUGUGUUUGAUUGAUGAGUUGUAUACUUAUAUAGCAAAGUGUCCUAAAAAGCUAUUUUCAGUGGCAUAACUGAUCUGUAGAAAUUGCCUGUUUUCAGCUUCUUGGUUCGAUUGCAAAGUUUCUUUCCUAACGCUCUCUGCUCUCAGCGGUUAUUAGUUUUUGUUUUUCAUAUUAUUGUUAUCGAUGGAAAGCUGUAGUGAAAGCAAGUUUAUGCACCUUCUUGGCAUUCAACAGAAGUUUGGCUAAAAGCUCAUGUCCUUGCCCAUGACUCUGGCUAUCACCAGCUCGAAAUCUACUGCUGAGCUAAUUAGCAGGGGAAUGGCCAUUGAGGAUCCAACUGCUCCUCAUGCACUAAGGCUAACAAUCAAAGACUACCCCUACGCUUAAUAUAGAUGAAGCCAUUUUUCAUGAACAAGGGUAUGCUGGUAUUGGUGUGAUACUCAGGGGCAGUGCAGGAGAAGUUAUCAUGACAGCAACAAAAAGAGAGGCAGCAGUUCAAGAAUCUUCUGAUAUAGAAUUGCUUGCUAUUUUUAGAGUCUUACAAUUAUGUCUAUCACUUGGAAUACACAAUUUGAUCAUUGAAA